UACGGUUAGGGUUGGGUUUUUGUUUAAGGUUUGGUUUAGGGUUAAGGUUAGGGUCAGGGUAGGGUUAGUGUUAGGUUUACGGUUAGGGUUAGUGUUAAGGUUAGCAUUAUGGUUAGGUUUAGGAUUAGCUUUAAAAUUAGAUUUAGGUUUAGGUUAGGUUUAUUGUUAGGGUUAGAGUGAAGUUAGGGUUAGGGUUAGGGUUAGGGUUUGUUUUAUGGUUAGGAUAUGGUUAUGGUUAGGGUUAGGGUUAGGGUUAGGGUUAGCGUUAGGGUUAGCGUUAGGGUUAGGGUUAGGGUUAACUUAGGGUUAGGGUUAUGGUUAGGUAAAGGGUUAGGAUUUGGUUUAGGUUUAGGGUUAGCAUCAAGGUUAGGGUUAGUGUUAGGUUUAGGGUUAGGUGUAGGGUUAGGGGUAGGGUUAGGGUAAGAUUAGCGUUAGGGUUAGGGUUAGGGUUAACUUAGGGUUAGGGUUAUGGUUAGGUAAAGGGUUAGGAUUUGGUUUAGGUUUAGGGUUAGCAUCAAGGUUAGGGUUAGUGUUAGGUUUAGGGUUAGGUGUAGGGUUAGGUGUAGGUUUAGGGUUAGAAUUUGGGUUAGGUUUAGGGUUAGGGUUAGGUUUAGGGUUAGUUUUAGGGUUUGGGUUAGGGUCAGGGUAAGGUUAGGGUUAGAUUUAGGGAUAGGGUUAGUGUUUAGGUUUGCGUUAUGUUUAGGUUUAGGGUUAGGGUUAAGAUUAGGUUUAGGGUAGUUUUAUGGAUAGGGUUAGAGUGAAGUUUGUGUUGGGGUUAGCGUUAGGGUUAGGAUUAUUCUUAGGGGUAGCGUAGGGGUAAUGUUAGGGUUUGGGUUAGGGUUGGGAUUAGGGUUAGGUUUAUAAUAGGGUUAGGGUUAAGUUUAGGGUUAAUGUACGGUUAGCCUUAGGGUUAGGGUUAUCGGUAAAGUUUAGGGUUUUUGAUAGGGUUAGGGUAGGGUAAGGAUUAGGGUAACGUUUAGGUUAGGGUUAGGUUUAGGGUUGGGUUUAGGCUUAGGUUUGGGGUUAGGGUUAGUAUUAUGUUUAGUUACAUUUAGGGUUACGUUUAGGGUUACAGUUAGGGUUAGGGUUUUGGUAAGUUUUAGGAUUAAGGUUAGGGUUACGUUUUGUAUUGAGAUUAGUGUUAGGUUUAGUGUUUUGUUUAGGGUUAGUGUAAGGGUUUGGGUUAGGUUUAGGGUUAGGGUUAGGGUUAGGGUUUGUUUUGGGCUUAGGGUAAGAGUUAGUGUUAAUGUUAGAAUUAGGUAAGGAUUAGGUUUAGGGUUAGGGUUAGGUUUUCGUUUAGGGUUAGGGUUAGGGUUUGUAUCAGGGUUAAGGUUAGAGUUAGGAAAUGUAGCUUCACCAAUUAGAAAUAAGAUACAAAUAGGAACAGUUAAGGUAGAGAGUGUUAGAGGAUAAAGAUUCCAAGCACUUUCA
rnacentral:lncRNA from 1 species